rnacentral:rRNA from 1 species
GGAUCGCAGGCUGCAACCCGCCCUGCGUGAAGUUGGAAUUGCUGUAAUCGCGGAUCAGCAUGCCGCGGUGAAUACGUUCCCGGGCCUUGUACACACCGCCCGUCACACCAUGGGAGUUUGUAACACCCGAAGUCUGUAGUCUAACCGCAAGGAGGACGCAGCCGAAGGUGGGAUAAGCGACUGGGGUGAAGUCGUAACAAGGUACC